rnacentral:rRNA from 1 species
CUCCUACGGGUGGCAGCAGUCGAGAAUCUUCGGCAAUGAGCGCAAGCUUGACCGAGCGACGCCGCGUGCGGGAUGAAGGCCUUCGGGUUGUAAACCGCUUUGGUCCGAAAGAAAGGGUAAAACUUGAUCGAUCGGAGAAACAAGGACGGGCUAAGUUCGUGCCAGCAGCCGCGGUAAGACGAACCGUCCAAACGUUAUUCGGAAUCACUGGGCUUAAAGGGCGCGUAGGCGGCCGAGCGGGUCGUGGGUGAAAUCCCCCAGCUUAACUGGGGAACUGCUUACGAUACCACUGCGGCUCGAGGAAGGAAGGGGCAAUUGGAACUGUCGGUGGAGCGGUGAAAUGCGUUGAUAUCGACAGGAACGCCUGUGGCGAAAGCGAAUUGCUGGUCCUUUUCUGACGCUGAGGCGCGAAAGCCAGGGGAGCAAACGGGAUUAGAUACCCCGGUAGUCCUGGCCUUAAACGAUGAGAACUAGGUAGUGGGUCCGACCUGGGCACACUGCCGAAGCGAAAGUCUUAAGUCUCCGCC